GAUGAAGAACGCAGCGAAAUGCGAUAAGUAAUGUGAAUUGCAGAAUUCCGUGAAUCAUCGAAUCUUUGAACGCACAUUGCGCCCCCUGGCAUUCCGGGGGGCAUGCCUGUCCGAGCGUCAUUUCUGCCCUCCAGCCCGGCUGGGUGUUGGGCGCUGUCCCCCCGGGGACACGCCCCAAAGGCAGUGGCGGCGCCGCGUCUGGUCCUCGAGCGUAUGGGGCUUUGUCACCCGCUCGGGACGGACUCGUCGGCGCUGGUCUUCCUCCAGGCGACCCUUCGGGGCUCGUCUUCCUUCGGUUGACCUCGGAUCAGGUAGGGUUACCCGCUGAACUUAAGCAUAUCAAUAAGCGGAGGA
rnacentral:misc_RNA from 1 species